UACAACUUUUAUUGUCAAUGUUAUGAAAGUAUUGAUUCAAGUGAACCCAUUACAUGCAUUUUAUAACAACGACUUUGUGACAAUUCAUUGAUCCUCAAAGCCUUAAGAAUAGGUUCCAAGUCUAUUGAUUAUAGUUCUGGUAGUCUUUGAGCUCACAUCUCGAUUCGUCCUCAAAGGUACCCAUGAACAUGCAUGUAAGUGGUCAACAGUAGAAGAAAGAAUGAAUACUCGUUUAUUUAUUUUAAAAGGGUGUGGCCCUAUCUUAGAAGUAACAUAAGUCUAGACAUGAAGAGAUAGCUAUGAACAAGAAGAUAAAAUAAAAUAAAAACUAUUUAUGCCUUCACUUUACGACUUCAGUAUCUAAAUCCCCUCUCUCAAUUGUGC
rnacentral:lncRNA from 1 species